AUUGAACGCUGGCGGCAGGCCUAACACAUGCAAGUCGAGCGGAUGAAGGGAGCUUGCUCCUGGAUUCAGCGGCGGACGGGUGAGUAAUGCCUGGGAAUCUGCCUGGUAGUGGGGGAUAACGUCCGGAAACGGGCGCUAAUACCGCAUACGUCCUGAGGGAGAAAGUGGGGGAUCUUCGGACCUCACGCUAUCAGAUGAGCCUAGGUCGGAUUAGCUAGUUGGUGGGGUAAAGGCCUACCAAGGCGACGAUCCGUAACUGGUCUGAGAGGAUGAUCAGUCACACUAGAACUUAGACACGGUCCAGACUCCUACGGGAGGCAGCAGUGGGGAAUAUUGGACAAUGGGCGAAAGCCUGAUCCAGCCAUGCCGCGUGUGUGAAGAAGGUGUUCGGAUUGUAAAGCACUUUAAGUUGGGAGGAAGGGCAGUAAGUUAAUACCUUGCUGUUUUGACGUUACCAACAGAAUAAGCACCGGCUAACUUCGUG
rnacentral:rRNA from 1 species